GAUGAACGCUAGCGGCAGGCCUAACACAUGCAAGUCGAGGGGCAGCACAGAAACAGCAAUGUUUUGGUGGCGACCGGCGGACGGGUGCGUAACGCGUAUGCAACCUAUCUUUAACAGGGGGAUAACGGAGAGAAAUUUCCACUAAUACCCCAUAACAUCGAUCAAGGCAUCUUGAUUGGUUGAAAACUCCGGUGGUUAAAGAUGGGCAUGCGUUGUAUUAGGUAGUUGGUGAGGUAAUGGCUCACCAAGCCUACGAUACAUAGGGGGACUGAGAGGUUAGCCCCCCACACUGGUACUGGGACACAGACCAGACUCCUACGGGAGGCAGCAGUGAGGAAUAUUGGUCAAUGGGGGCAACCCUGAACCAGCCAUGCCGCGUGCAGGAAGACGGCUCUAUGAGUUGUAAACUGCUUUUAAACAGGGAUAAAGCACAGUAUGUAUACUGUGUUGAAGGUACUGUAAGAAUAAGGAUCGGCUAACUCCGUGCCAGCAGCCGCCGUAA
rnacentral:rRNA from 1 species